rnacentral:rRNA from 1 species
UGCAUAUCAAAAAAGCGGAGGAAAAGAAACCAACAGGGAUUGCCUCAGUAACGGCGAGUGAAGCGGCAAAAGCUCAAAUUUGAAAUCUAGCACCUUCGGUGUUUGAGUUGUAAUUUGAAGAUGGUAACCUUGGGUUUGGCUCUUGUCUAUGUUCCUUGGAACAGGACGUCAUAGAGGGUGAGAAUCCCGUCUGAUGAGAUGCCCAUUCCUAUGUAAGGUGCUAUCGAAGAGUCGAGUUGUUUGGGAAUGCAGCUCUAAGUGGGUGGUAAAUUCCAUCUAAAGCUAAAUAUUGGCGAGAGACCGAUAGCGAACAAGUACAGUGAUGGAAAGAUGAAAAGAACUUUGAAAAGAGAGUGAAAAAGUACGUGAAAUUGUUGAAAGGGAAGGGCAUUAGAUCAGACUUGGUGUUUUACGAUUAUCUUCUCUUCUUGAGUUGUGCACUCGUAUUUCACUGGGCCAGCAUCGAUUCGGAUGGCAAGAUAAUGGCAGUUGAAUGUGGCUUCACUUCGGUGGAGUGUUAUAGCUUCUGCUGAUAUUGCCUGUCUGGAUCGAGGGCUGCGUCUUUGACUAGGAUGCGGCGUAGUUUGGGGGGGGG